AGAAGUAGUAAUUGUCCAAAACAUUUUUAAAAGUUUGAAAAUGGUACCCAUCACUACCAUAUUCUUCUUCUUCCUUGAUGUUUUCUGUUUUCUUUACAGUCCUUCAAUAUCUCACAACUCGUUGUUGGCUACAUCAGUGCCCGGAUUCAAUUUUGUGCAUCCUGAAUCCUCAAACUUUCAAGUCCUGCUAAUUGGGUACUCCCUUUGAAGAAUAUAAUUAAGGUUCAACAAUGGCUGUUUCUCCUUAUACAAUGCCUUUAUAGUCCAUCGUGGAGUGGAUUCGAAGUGAAUGUCCGAUACAGUAUACUCUAUGUUUGUAAUGUUUUUCAUAUAUGUGUGAGUAUUUGAAAGAUUAUACAUUUUGUAUCCGUGUUGGAUUAUACGAAUCUAAAUAUAAAUACUUUUUGAGAAAAUAAAAAUUUAAAAAAAAUAAA